rnacentral:rRNA from 1 species
GUACGCGCAGCUAACUCAAGAAUUGACGGGCCGCACAAGCGCGAGCAUGCGGAUUAUUCGAUGCAACGCGAAGAACCUUACCAAGGCUUGACAUACACCGGACCGGCCCAGAGAUGGUCUUUCCCCUUGUGGGGCUGUUGUACAGGUGGUGCAUGGUUGUCGUCAGCUCGUGUCGUGAGAUGUUGGGUUAAGUCCCGCAACGAGCGCAACCCUCGUUCUAUGUUGCCAGCACGUGAUGGUGGGGACUCAUAGGAGACUGCCGGGGUCAACUCGGAGGAAAGGUGGGGAUGACGUCAAAUCAUCAUGCCCCUUAUGUCUUGGGCUUCACGCAUGCUACAAUGGCCAGUACAAUGGGUUGCGAUGCCGCGAGGUGGAGCUAAUCCCAAAAAGCUGGUCUCAGUUCGGAUCGUGGUCUGCAACUCGACCACGUGAAGUCGGAGUCGCUAGUAAUCGCAGAUCAGCAACGCUGCGGUGAAUACGUUCCCGGGCCUUGUACACACCGCACGGCAAGUCACGAAAGUUGGUAACACCCGAAGCCGGUGGCCUAACCUGU